rnacentral:rRNA from 1 species
AUGUUCAACGGAGCUCUGACGACCACCCUCAAACUAGUCGACCGCAAGUGCGUGCUCCUCUUCUUUGAUGACAUCCUCGUGUUCAGCAAGACUCUACGAGACCACAUCAAUCACCUGCGACAAGUGCUGCAACUUUUGCACCGAGACCAAUGGCACGUGAAGAUGUCCAAGUGCGAGUUCGGCCAGCACAGCCUAUCAUACCUGGGACACGUCAUCAGCGAUCAAGGGGUAUCCACGGAACCAACCAAGAUACAAGCAGUAUCCAACUGGACGACUCCAACUGAUGUCAAAGCAGUCCGCAACUUCUUGGGGCUCGCUGGGUACUAUCGAAGAUUCGUCAGGAAUUUUGGGAUCAUAGCUCGUCCACUGUUCAACCUUCUGAAAUAA